rnacentral:lncRNA from 10 species
UGCCCCACCUUCCUGGGACCACAACUAUUCCAGUGAAGAGGCAGUCUCCCUCAAACCUCUUUGGAAUUCUAGGCACCUGUAUGUCCCCACUAUUUCUGCUGUCACUGCCAGGAGACCACUUUCCCAGAUCUAGAGUGAGAACUAGAGGGUUUCUUCUUGAAGUGACCUGUCUGUGCUGCUUCUGGGUUUUGGGCUGCCUUGAGUCCAGGUUGGAAGAUACCAGAGGAUAGCAUAAUGCUAACCUCACUGCUCAUUUGGUGGUGGCCCUAAUUCUGAUUUUCUUCUUCACUUGGCCUGCUAUUUAAUUUCCAGAGUGCUCCAGCUAUUCCAUACACUCUGUCCAGGUUUUACAGCUAUUUUCAGUGGGAGAGACAGGGUGGGGUAUGUUUACUCCAUUGUACUUGAAACCAGAAACUGGAAUCUGUUAAAAAGAGUAUGAAAAGUUCUUGGAAAAUACUGUAUCAUACACUGUCCUAAAAUACAUCUAUUAACAUUUUUGAACACGAGUUAGAAUUUUAAAUAUUGCAGAUUUUGCUUUUAUUUUUAUGAUUUAGAGGUAGUUUCAGGAGAAUGAUUUGUACAAUCCAUUAAAAAAAUCCAUCAUGAGAAAUUUAAAUUCUUUUUCUUCUCUAAAAAUAUUUGCUUGCAAUAGGCAGAAACAUUGAGACUACUCUAUUGACCUUGAGCUCAAAAUAGUAGGCACUUAACAAUUGUUUGUUGUGGCAGUUUCUACUACUGUAAAUGCUUUCAGAUUCACAAGUGUGGCUCUGAAUUUCAGCUAAAUGAUUCUCUAAAACAUAGAUUUUUAAAAGGAUGCAUAAUAAUAGCCUUCCCACAGUAGCUGUGAUCUGCCUCCAGUUUCAAAGCCUGACAUAGCCCCACAAAUAUCUUUCAGCCAUGUCCAACUUCUCUCUCCCUCUUCCUCAAAGAUGUUUACCCCUCAGAGCCUCCCAGCUCUGAGUCACCAUCUCCCUGUCCUUUUUGAAUUCCUAUUUAUUUCUUCAGGGCUCUCAGCUCAAAUUUUAACUCGUAUGUAAAGUCUUCCCCUACUUCUACAGACAGAGUUAAGUGCUUCUUAUGUCCAGAGGCCUCAACUUGCCUUUAUUUCACUGCCCUUUCACCAGAAACACAAUGAUUCCCUUUUUGUCUUUGUUUCCCAUUUGAUGAUGAUCUCCUUGAAGGUGGGGGCUUUGUCUUUCUCAUCUUUCUAUUUCUAGCACCUAUUGCAAUAUUGGAGAGAAAGGAGAGGAGGGGAGUGGUGGGGCAAAGUCAAGUGGAAAAUGAGCAGAAGGAAAGUGAAAGAGAAGACCAGAGGUAAAAGCCUCAUCCCAGGAUGCUUUGGAACUGAUAGAAAUGACAGCUCACUCAAGCUAUCAGUACAAGCAGCAGAUAACUUUCCCUGAUGUCCUUUAUCUCAAGCCCUAAACAAAAGACAUCUGUUUAAAGGACAUCCCGCUAGGACUUCAGGAGCCCUGGCCAUUGCCAAUGACAUUAAAAACAUGUAAGGCAUUUGCUUCUGAAUUUUCCCUCUGUAGUUGUGCUGUUUCAAGCAGUGCAGGAUAAAAAUCUUGACAAAACAGAUGCAUCAAAAGCGCACACUCUUCACAUUACAAUCACUGUCAUGCCUUGCUCCUAUCUAGAUGGUUUGCAUGAAACAGUAAGCCAGGAAGAGUUGCAUGAGUAAGUCCUAAGAAAUAGUCCCAUUUGAAUCAGAAUGUCUCCAUUAUUUAACGAACCUUUAAAUUUCAAAACCUUGAAAGUAUUAAAAAUGGGAAUAAUAAAUAAUAAAUACAUGAGUAAUAACAGAGUGAUUUCUAAAUGAGAUAUGUCAUAUUGAAUUCUUUCUCUUUUAAAAGUUUCUAGUGAUUAAACACUGUAUCUUGGAGAUGCAUUUUGUCCUUAGGAGAAACAGCAGGUUUUGAUGCUCUAGGCAUUGAGUAUAUCUAUAAGCAUUUGCCUUUUUAUAUGAAGCAUCUCAAAAAUUGGUACCAGAAUCUGUCUCUGUCACCUCUGUCAUCUGUUGCUGUCACCACUCUGUAUCAAGGCUCUGCAAACAGAAAUGUCCUCAUUGUUUGUUAUACAUAAUUUUUGUCAUUAUCCUCUCAAGGUUUGGGUUGAAACCAAAUACUCAACCCAGUAGUUGGGCUCACCAGAUAUUUACUGAGUGCCUGCUUGAGCUUGACAAAGGUGACUUCUUUGCUUCUUUCCAAUACUCUUUUCUGCGGCUUUUAAAAAAUUACUUCAAAAUUUUCAUUUUGAAAUGAUUUCCAAAAAGUUGCAAAAGUAGAACAAAGGAUUUAUACAUGCCUUCACCCAGAUUAUCUAUAUGUAAACAUCUCUUUUUUUUUUUUUUGAGACAGGGUCUCACUUUGUGGCUCAGGUUGGGGUGCAGUGGCGCAAACACGGCUCACUGUAGGCUCUACCUCUGGGGCUCAAGUGAUCCUUCCACCUUAGCCUCCUGAGUAGCUGGGACUAUAGGUGUGUGCCACCACAACUGGCUGAUUUUUUUUUUUUAUUUAAAUUUUUAGUAGAGAGGGAUCUCGCUAUGCGCAGACUUGUCUUGAACUCCUGAGAACAUGCAAUCCUACCUGCUUCGGCUUCCCAAUGUGUUGAGAUUACAGGCAUGAGACACCGUGCCUGGCCAAAUGUGAACAUCUUCAAUAAUUAUAGAACAAUGAGGACAAUCAUGAAAUCCACAAUAACACUAUUGCCUGAUCUAUAGACCUUAUUUAAAUUUCACUAACUGUUCCACUAAUGACCGUGUUCUGGGCUAGGAUCUAAUUUAGGAUCACAAACUGUAUUCAGCUAUCACAUCUCCUUAGUAUCCUUUUAAUCUAAACUGAUUGCUUAGUCUUUCUUUGUCUUUCAUGACCUUGACGCUUUUAAGUAAUACUGGCUUUUUUUUUUUUUUUUGGUAAAAUGUUCCUCAAUUUUUGUUUGUAUUAUGUUUCCUCAUGAUUACAUUCAGGUUAUGCAAUUUUUGGCAAGAAUACAAUAGCAGAAGCUCAGUUAGCUAGUUAAAGGUACAAAACCUAUUUUGUUCCAUAAUAGAGAUCAUGGUGGGGUGGGGACUGUGUUAUAAAAAUAAGUCCUUCUACGUGUAACUGAAUUCAGCUAAGCCUGGAUUAAUACUCAUUUAUAGUUUGUCUCUUCAUCCUUAACUUUUUUUUUUUUUUUUUUGCCUCUAUCUCUUUUCAAGAAGGCCACUUUUGAUAAUGAGGACUGGCAGAGGGCUGGAUUCCGUGGGUUCAGGUAUUUAAUUCUGACAUUCAUCAUACUCCAGAACAGGUGUUUGCUGUCUUGUCAGAGUAGGUAGCUAGUCAGACAUGAGUGGGGCAGGUGAGGCCUCCUGCCCCCAGGAAUGUCAGGUGACCAUCUCUCUAAAAUAAUAAUUGGUCACAGCCAGCACCAGGGAAAAGCCAGCUCCCAAUAGAUAGAAAACACCUGAAGCUGGUGAUUAGCAGCUUCCCCACAGGAUCUCAGGAGUCGGGUGAGUGGACUCAAGCAUGCACACUGAGAGGCAACAUGGUGGCAUGUAACUGAUAUAUGACCUUCCUCCAGGACCACUUGACUAGUAAGGGAAAAAUGCCUCACGUAAGCAUGCGUGUAACUUCAGUGAACACACUGCGCAGAGCCCCCUCUCAAGGGCUGGCAGACCACUGUGCAUACGUGCAGUGAUCUCGGCUCACUGCAACUUCUGCCUCCCGGGUUCCAGCGAUUCUCCUGCUAAGUCUCUGAAUAGCUGGGAUUACAGGCAAGCACCACCAAGCCUGUCUAAUUUUUUGUAUUUUUUUAGUACAGACGGGGCUUCACCAUGUUGGCCAGGGUGGUCUUGAACUCCUGAUCUCAAGUGAUGCACCCACCUCGGCCUCUCAAAGUGCUGGAAUUACAGGCGUGAGCCACCGUGCCUGGCCACUGCUCUAAAACUUAAAUAAAUUUUCACUCCUGCUCUAAAACGUGUCUCUUUCUCUCCAUCUGCCCAAUGCCCCCAAUCGAAUUCUUUCUUCUGAGGAGGCAAGAAUUGAGGUUGCUGCAGGCUCAUAUGGAUUCCCUGCUGCUAACAGUCUGAGGCAGCAGAAUAGUGAUUUUAGAAGCCAGAACCCAAAUAGCGGACAGUAUGGCAUGGGUGAGAGCAAGGCCUUUAGUAUGAGACAGACAGGGCUUAAGGUAUACCCCUGACAAGCUAAAGGACCUUGGGCAAGUUACUUAACCUUUGUGAGCCUCAGUUUCCUCAACUGUAAAAUGGAGUUGCUCUGUGAAUUAAAUGAAGAUGGAGUAUAUAAAGUACUUAACGGAGUGUCUGGCUUAGAGAAGAUACUUAGUAUUAGCUAAAAAUCUAUAAAAGUAAUAAUAGCAACCUGAAACAACUCUCCAGCUAAAUUCACACAUUCUGCUAACGGAUAGCCCUGGAGAAUUGGGCCCUUAACAAUGGUUCCUGGCAAUACUGGUGGGUAAAACAUAUGAUUAACCGUCUAGGGCCUGUGAGGACAUCAACCUGUUCUCUCUGGCUUGGAGUAAGGCCCGAAUAGUGGUGUUUUUGUGCCCAGGGCAAGUUCCUUUGACAAUUCUCUUGCCUACUGAGGAAGCAAUUUUUUUCCGUCAGGUUUCUUUAGGUCAGCAGCAGGAUGGACUGCUCCCUCACGUCUACUCUUGUUAGGAUAUCUCCCAGAGGCGGCAUCUCUCCUUCUGCUAGACACUGUAGGGGAGGAAAAAGAAUCCUUUCCUUUACCCAGCUUAGGCUUUGCAGCUGGGGCCCUGUACAUUAGAGUGGCUAAAGGCAGAUUCACAAGAGAAAAGAAAUAGAAGUUUAUUAAUAUGUGCAUUGCACGUGUACACAUGAGACCAUCCUACGAUGUGUAACCCAAAGGGGCAGUUAGAACUUGGGUUUAUAUAAAUCAUCUUAGGCUAAAGAAAAAGGGAUUUGGGCUUCUGAGUGGGGGAGGCAAGUUAUGGGAAGGUAAGGAGGAAAAAUAUGGUAAAUAGGGGUUGUUUAAUGAGGUUUGUUAUGCAGAUUUAAGUUUAAGAGUAAGGUGCCUUCCCCACUGAUAACAGGUGUUAAGAGUCCUUCUCUUCCUGGUACAGGGAGCGGGAGAUACCUUUUACAAAUGUAAAUUUCCUUUAUAAAAGAAGAACUGUCCUUGCCUCUGCUGGUUCUCAAUGGCCUUUAGCUCAAAAUAAUCCUUAUGCCAAAAAGGCACAUUUUGCAGGGAAAUAUUUUGGUGCCUCUCAACAGCCAGGGCCUGGUCAACUCUCUGGAGCUGUUCCUCACUCUUGCAAGCCUUUCUGACCCAUUGGGCACCUAAGUCAUUGUCCUGCUUUCUCCUGUGGUUCAUUCUCAGAGCAGUGCUGUGUUGAGAAAACACAGUCCAACAAUCAUCCAGAGGGAGUACUGAGCUGUGCUCAUAGCAUAACUGCCAUGCACACCCAGUUCCCCUCUCUUCUGGGGUUUCCCUUCACUCUGAUUCUGCUCCAGGGCCUCCCUCCUCAAUCCCCUUCAGAAACUCUUUCUUCACCCCUUCUCUGCCCACGUUUCUCUUCUCCCCUCCCCUUCUCUUUCUUCUCUCCUUAGCCUUCCUGACCUGAAUAUGAAAUUGCAUAUGCUGGCCUGAAUUGUGCCCCUUUUCUAAUUUCUCUAGGUCUGCCAGAUUCUCUCCCAUUUUGCAGAUGGUUUAACCAAAGUCCAAAGAAGAGAACAAGCAAGAUGAGGUUUUUUCAGAGUGUGGGUUGGGGAUGGGGGGCAGCCUAUGAGGUUCCAGACCAAAGGUGGUCUGCACAAGGGGAUGGGAGGAGGGGCAGGUGAGGCUGUAAACACAGACACUUCCAUGAAGUGUUAAAAUUCUCAAUUAUUUUUUUUCAUAUCCAGACACUUCAUGUGAGUCCUCUGCUCUCUGCCCUCCCUGUAAGUGGGCGAACAGAGAGGGGAGGCCCCUCACUGUAUGAACAGAAGACUGGUCCCAGGAAAACAUGCCGUUAGGCACUUUUGAAUUUCUGAAAACAAAACAACCCCAAAGAGGUGUGUAUAUAAAGGUUUUGCUAAGCUUGCUAAAACAAAAUGAGGAAGGCUGCCAGUGAAAAAGACAUUAUAUUCCAAGUGAGGAAAGUCUUGUCUGGAAACUGUAAAGAGGGCCUGUGUGCAUCUCAGUGACUUCUCCUCUGCAGGCCAUGGGUGGCCGCAAUGCAAAUUCAGACCUGGGAUUGGUUUCUGUUCAAAAGCAGAUGAGUCUUGUUUACUUUAGAGGUAUGUGCCUUACAGAUUUUUAUUUACUUAAAAAAAUCUAUCUAUCUAUCUAUCUAUCUAUCUAUCUAUCUAUCUAUCUGUCUAUCUUUCUACCAGAUUUACAUAUAUAUAUAUAAAACUACCAGAUUUACAUAUCUAUCUAUCUAUCUAUCUAUCUAUCUAUCUAUCUAUCUAUCUAUCUAUCUAUUUUUUAGAUGGAGUUUCCACUCUUGCUGCCCAGGCCAGAGUGCAAUGGCAUAAUCUCAGCUCACUGCAACCUCCGCCUCCCGGGUUUAAGUGAUUCUCCUGCCUCAGCCUCCUGAGUAGCUGGGAUUACAGGCACCUGCCACCAUGCCUGGCUAAUUUUUUUUAUUUUUUAGUAGAGAUGAGGUUUCACCAU